GACGAUUUGUCCAAAAAAGUGUCUAAAAAAGUUGCCUUCACGGACGCACCGUGUUUUGUUGUUUCAGUUUUACAUUCGGAACUCUAAAUUCUCGAGAGUUCCGAAAAUCAACUUCCGUUGAUCCUGAUCAUAACAACGUUUGUUUUCAUGGGAAAAAAAUAUGGCGACUAAGAAACACUUAAUGUCAACAAGAUUUUCUGAUUGACAAGAGAAAAGGUCAAACAGGAACUUCAAAAGUGAACAUUGCAGAGAACACACCCAUCAGAAGAUGACACUCAGAAAUAGGACAAUUAAUGAAUAAAAUGGACAGAGGCAGAACUGAAGGAGAUGCAUGAAAUGAGGAAUAUUUCAAAGAUUGCCUGAGACUAACCACUGCUACUGGAUAAACAUAUGGCAAUAUAAAAG